CAGUUCAUUUAGAUUACAAGCAUGAGACUGCUGAUAACUCGAAUUUCGUUGCCAGUUUGGAAUUCAGGUUUCACCUGGGGAAUUGGGGAAGUCGUCAGCUGGUUGAAACUUGUUUCUAGCUCAGUAGUCUGCAAGUUAAGUAAAUUACAGUGACCAACGUGGAUACUCUCGGGAGGUCACUCUCCCCGGGCUCUGUCCAGGUGGCGUAGGGGAGCAUAGGGCUCUGCCCCGUGACGUACAGUCCCUUUCCACGACGUUGGAGAUGAAGCCGGGCCUUGAGUCUGCGCCUGCAUAUUCCUACAGCUUCUCAGAGUCCUGUGGACGAUGACUGAGGAGACAAACCAUGCAGGAAACAGCUCUUAGAGCACCCCCUAUCUGGAGCUAGAUUGGUUGGAAAUGAAAGAAAAUUCUGCUCUUAAUCAGCUGCUGUUCUACUGGAUUAAGCUCUUACCUACCUUGUUUUGCAGCAGUUGCUCAGGAUUCCAGAUAAUUUGAUUUGGGGAUUGAAGAGGAGCCUCACCUUACAUUGGCAGUCAACACUUUAUGCUUUGGGGUACUUUACUUGGCAGGGACAGUUGGUGAAGUGGAUGAUAAAUGUUUUUGUAAGCUAAGCCUGGAGGUUUAGAAGCUUGAGCACAUUUGACCCCUUUUUAAAACUGCCCUUAAGAGAAACUCAAGGGGGAACAGUAGGUUUUUAAGCUUAAUUUAAGAGAGAGCAAGUAUGUGGGAGGGGCAGAGGGGGAGAGAAUCCCAAACAGGCUCUACCCUAUCAGCAUGGAGCCUCAACUGAGAUCAUGACCUGAGCAGAAAUCAAGAGUCUGACUGAGCCACCCGGCACCCUGAUCCAUGUGUUUCUGAUGUACUUAUGGAUUACAAUAAAGAUGACUGCAUAUU